rnacentral:lncRNA from 1 species
CAAGGUGCUAACUCUCUUUCAAAUCUCCACUUCACUGAUUCGGAUCUGAUCUUCUUCUUCGACUGUCAUAAAAGAAGAUCUGAGGAUCUACGCAUGAACUACCGUCACAUAGUACUGGAGGAACGUAGAGAGACAAUGGAGAACUCCUUCUCCUUUCUGUUUCUCUUCUUUUAUGAUCUCUCCCUCUCUGAUUUCUCUCUCUAUGUGGCCGACCGAAAGGGGGGUUUUGGCAUGUGGAUGAUGGAAGGAGAAGGGGCCGGCCC